rnacentral:rRNA from 1 species
GAUGAACGCUGGCGGCGUGCUUAACACAUGCAAGUCGAACGGUGAAGCAGAGCUUGCUCUGUGGAUCAGUGGCGAACGGGUGAGUAACACGUGAGCAACCUGCCCCUGACUCUGGGAUAAGCGCUGGAAACGGCGUCUAAUACUGGAUAUGAGCUGCGACCGCAUGGUCAGCAGUUGGAAAGAUUUUUCGGUCUGGGAUGGGCUCACGGCCUAUCAGCUUGUUGGUGAGGUAAUGGCUCACCAAGGCGUCGACGGGUAGCCGGCCUGAGAGGGUGACCGGCCACACUGGGACUGAGACACGGCCCAGACUCCUACGGGAGGCAGCAGUGGGGAAUAUUGCACAAUGGGCGAAAGCCUGAUGCAGCAACGCCGCGUGAGGGAUGACGGCCUUCGGGUUGUAAACCUCUUUUAGCAGGGAAGAAGCGAAAGUGUCGGUACCUGCAGAAAAAGCGCCGGCUAACUACGUG